rnacentral:lncRNA from 1 species
GGAGUUCGAGACCAGCCUGGCCAACAUAAUGAAACCCCAUCUCUACUAAAAAUACAAAAAAUUAGCUGGGCGUGGUGGCGGGUGCCUAUAAUCCCAGCUACUUGGGAGACUGAGGCACGAGAAUUGCUUGAGGUGGAGGUUGCAGUGAGCCAAGCUUGCCCCCAUUGCACUCCAGCCUGGGCAACAGAGUGAGACUCCAUCUCAAAAAAACAAAAAACAAACAAAAAAACCCAAACAAACAAAAAGAUAGUUCCAAAAUUCUUGCCGGUCACAUUACAUCCCUCUAUGAAGAGAAGUCCUCCUUUUCAGAGCCAAGCUUUCAAGCUCUCAAGAUAAAACCAUUACCACUCUCUUUUUUCCAUAGAGAAUGAGAGAACCCUCUGAUGUGGAGUGAGCAGGACCUGAAAUUACUUCCAGAACUAUCCUUGGCACACACCACAAAGCCCCAAAGCUUUGACUUGUAAGUUUCUAUAGUCUUGCUGGUCAUGCCCUGGAAUGACUCAGCAGGAUCAAGACCAGUUACAAAAUUUUACCACUUUUCUUUGUGCCCAGUCUAGAAAGAUUUCUGAGAAGGGUUGUGAUGUAUCCCAAAUGAUAUGCAGAAGUGUAUGGGAGUGUAGGUGACUAUGCUGCAGGUAUGUUUUUUUGCCCAGUGUACACUUGUGAGGUCCUGGUCAACAUAAAGAAUAAAGACAGGUUGCCUCUUUGUUUUCACACUCGACUGUUCCCACUAUGCUAUGGCUAACUCUAUGAGUUCUCAAAAGUAAGCAUUUCCCUAAGUACUGCUGGUAUUUUGCCCAAACCCUUAACUAUUUCCUGUGGAUUUGAAAUGAGUUAUCUGUUUAGUAAAUGUCAAUGUUUCUCGGGGUAAUAGAAUGCAUGGCUAAGGUUCUGAGCAUCACAAAGCUCCUCAGGCAAACAUUUUCAAGAGCAGCUUCUCACAAAUAUUUUUCAAGGGUAGUAUGGAUUAAAUAAAGGAAUGUAGGUGAAGCGUGAUUAAGGUUCUAUCACUGGCAGCACUCAGACCUCGUUCAUCCUAAGAAUGCACAAAAAUAUAAGGAACAAAGGAGAAACGGAAAUUUGAAAGUUUUUAAGAUUCUGAGUGAGAAGAAAAUGCAUCCAAAAUAAGACCUGGUUGGAUGCCAUUCAUGCAAGCAUCUAAACCUUGCAAUAAAAAAAGAAUAUCCCCGACCUCACUUUUGCAGACAGAGAUAUUUUCAACCUUUUGCACCAAAAUAUCUCCGGUUGAGAGUUUUUUUUAAGUUCACAAGUGAAAGACUUUGGUCUAGACUGACUUUUUGCAGAGCAGAAAUCUUGACUUUUUUUCAUCUGUCUUCCUUUUCUCAGGUAACACUGAGUCCUUAAUACCGUCUUUGGCAACA